CAUCAGCCGAGCCGAAAGCGGUGGCAGACAAAACAGGGAGAGAGUUCGCAGCAGGCCGAUGGCCGAACAAGUAUCAGGCAGCACCAAAUUGGAACAUCAAAAUAUCAUGAUCCAAGAGAGUCCAAAACAAAACCAAAAAACGUUGUGGUAAUCAAAAAACUAAAUAAUCCAAACAAGGCACAAAAAAAAGAAAAAGAUAGUCCAGGUGCGAAACGGCAGCCAAACGCGCACAGCGUUCUCGCCCCGGAAGCGGUUCACAUAAUAUGUGAAUAAAGACUCAGGGCUUGUUUCUCCCCUCCAUAAUGCACGCCCUGUGUAUCUUGUUGCAUCUAGCUUUCAAUAAUUGCCCAUAGCAUGUUGUCAUUGUUUCAUCUUGCUUUCAGAGUGUGUCACUUCAGUGUCCCUCUAUGAAAGAUGUAGGCUGCUAAACAGACCUACAAAUUCAUACAACCGUGAGCACACAGCUGUCCUUUGGUACUUUGGGACCUCAUUUCAGAUGCAAAGGAACACAGGCUGUGGUGUCAUGUGAAAGUGUAGGUGUUGGUACCACUACUCCCUGGAACACUUUCCAUCCUUUGACCUCAACACCUUUGAAGGAUUCAAGGACAACAAAAAGAGCUCAUGUUGAACUAGAGGGGGAGGUUGAGGAAAAUGUUUCCUUUGAGGUCUAUAAUCCUAAGGACACAACAUAUGAGCCUGCUGAGUCUGUCACCACUGUGACAGACACAUCACAACAUUUCACACACAGAUUUACGGCUACCCAAGAUGAUGCGAUGUAUAUUGUCUUUGAGAACUGCCUCCUCCAACUUUUUGAUUCUUGUCCAGUUAUCACGUGUCUGUGAUGUUCAGCUCGAAGAAAGGGGACUUUUGUUGCCAUUUACCAAGUCUGCUCACAUUGUCAGUAUGCUAGACAAUGGAAGCCAACCUGUUGUUGGCAGCACCCCUUUAGGCAACCUGCAGUUAUCUGCUGCCAUAUAAUUCACUGGUGCAUCCUUCUUCAAAAUAAAAAAGGUGCUCAGUGCAAUGCAUAUCAAGAUGAUUCAACACAGAACAUAUAGAAAGCAUACCAAAAUGUACCUAGAACCUGCCAUAGUGUAUAAAUGGAAAAAGGAACAAGAAGAAGUCAUGCGGCACAUAAGCCAGGGGGACAAAGUUAUAGGUGGUGGUGAUAUGAGAGCAGACUCAUCAGGACAUUCAGCAAAGUAUGGGAGCUACACUGUAAUGGAUCUUGGUAGCAAUGUCAUUUUAGACAUUCAGCUGGUGCAGCUUUAUUUUGGGGAAAAGGAACAGGAAAGGACCUCACAAGCCAGGAAUCUAACUCGGGUCAACCAUGUACAUGUCAUGAGCGCAGACCCCUGGGCAACGGCUCUGACAGACUGAUUGUGUCUAACUGGAAUUAUUUAUUGCUUUCUUUGUAGAGCACUGAGGUUAGUGGUAGUUACCAUAUGGAGAAGGAAGGAUUAAAAAGAAGCCUUGAAAAUUUGGAUGCCCAUAGGGUGAAGUUGGACUGCAUUAUCACAGACCGUCACCCACAGAUACAGACAUUUUUAAAGGAACAUGACAUCACACAGUUCUAUGAUGUUUGGCAUCUGGAGAAAGGGUUGUCCAAAAAGUUGGACCAGAUUGCCAAAGACAAGGACUGUCAGUUGGUGAAAAAGUGGCAGUGGAGCAUAAAGAAUCAUGUCUACUAGACUGCAUCAUCUUCCAGAACAGGAGAAGAGAAAGUAGCAAAGUGGAAUUCAUUCAUUAACCACAUCCAGGAUGUUCUCAUACAUGACAACCCUGCAUACCCAAAAUGUGAACAUCCACUCCGGACAUCUAAGGAUCGCAGCAAGUGGUUAC